rnacentral:rRNA from 1 species
UACAGAGGUGGCAAGCGUUGUUCGGAAUUACUGGGCGUAAAGGGCGCGUAGGCGGCCUUCUAAGUCAGACGUGAAAUCCCCCGGCUUAACCUGGGAACUGCGUCUGAUACUGGGAGGCUCGAGUAUGGGAGAGGGAUGUAGAAUUCCAGGUGUAGCGGUGAAAUGCGUAGAUAUCUGGAGGAAUACCGGUGGCGAAGGCGGCAUCCUGGACCAUAACUGACGCUGAGGCGCGAAAGCUAGGGGAGCAAACAGG